rnacentral:rRNA from 1 species
GCCAGACUCCUACGGGAGGCAGCAGUGGGGAAUAUUGCACAAUGGGGGAAACCCUGAUGCAGCGACGCCGCGUGAGCGAAGAAGUAUUUCGGUAUGUAAAGCUCUAUCAGCAGGGAAGAAAAAAAUGACGGUACCUGAGUAAGAAGCACCGGCUAAAUACGUGCCAGCAGCCGCGGUAAUACGUAUGGUGCAAGCGUUAUCCGGAUUUACUGGGUGUAAAGGGGGCGCAGACGGCGAUGCAAGCCAGGAGUGAAAGCCCGGGGCCCAACCCCGGGACUGCUCUUGGAACUGCGUGGCUGGAGUGCAGGAGGGGCAGGCGGAAUUCCUGGUGUAGCGGUGAAAUGCGUAGAUAUCAGGAGGAACACCGGUGGCGAAGGCGGCCUGCUGGACUGCAACUGACGUUGAGGCCCGAAAGCGUGGGGAGCAAACAGGAUUAGAUACCCCCGUACAA